UAGAGUCCGAGUGAGAUGCUCGGAGCAAGGUUCUGCUGGCCGUUGCUGCUUUGAAGAUGGAACGUGUGUGCCUGAGCAGCUGAGUAAUUUGGGUAAUCUCGAGAAACCGAGUCUCCCUUAGAGUGUCCAGAAAGGUACGUGGUCAUGCCAACACUUGUUUUUCAUCUAGUGAGAACAGUUUCAUACUUCCAGCCUUCAAGCUACAAGGUGUCACAUGAAGUAAGCUGAACAUAAUCAAGAAUAAAAGGACUGGAGAAGCUUACAAAUGGGUUCAGUUAACAGGAAAAUUGUGCUAAUUGUACUGAGUUGGACACUGAACAUCUCACAAGGAACGAAAACAACCUGCUACUUGGCCUUAUGAAGCUUUUGAUCGAGCCAUCCAGAUAGAAAUGAACAAAUGUUCUUGCAUUGGCAAUACGUGCUUUGUAUUCAAAAGACAGUGAUGUUAAGAUAUCCUUCUAUAUCAAUGGAAUAAUCCAUGCAUUCAACAUUUAAUUAUUCCUGCUAUGUUUCAAAUCCAGUAUCUAUGUCAGAUAAUUGAGCUUGAACUGACAGAUUGUCAGUAUUUGGUCAUAAUGCUCAAAAUGUUUCUGCUAACGUCCUCUAAAAAUAAUACACAAAGAACUAAAUCAUGUUCUAAGCCGAGGAAGAACUAGAAAUUAUGUGAGAGCGAAACCAACUUAACUUCUAAAUUACGUAACUAAUUUUACUUUGGUAUCAGUAAUGAAAAUGGGACUUAAAUAAAUAAAUACUGUUCAACAUUCUAGAUACACUUACCUAGUCACUCGAAUUAACAAAAACGUUGCUGCAUUUUUUUAAAUUUAUUCCUCUGUCAAUUGAUUUGCUACAGGUAGUAAAAAACUUCACUAAUGAGGGAAAUAUUGUCAAAAUUUGAUUUAGUAUAUUUAUUUUUGUGUUUAUCAUUUUCAGUCUUUCCUUCUUUCUUUACUUUUGCUAAUGAUACCCACUGGCCAAAAUAUAGAGUGGUAGAAGGAGACAUUUUAAUUUAGGUCCAUAACUGUUAAAAAAUUCUAAACUAUGGUACUACUUUAAAAAGUGUAUAAAUUGCAUUAAAAGUAUAGGAUGCUAUUCCUAUAAUAAUGGUUCAUAAAAGUACAUGAAUGAGAAUGAUCACAUGAUAAUUUUUAGAUUUGGUAAAACCAUGUAUGACUCAGCAUUAUUUUAAUAAUUUAUUUGCAAAACUUUUCAAAGCAACAAGGAUCUCCCUUGGCAAUUACUAGAAUUUGGUUUUCAUAUGUUCUUUGGAAAAUAUAAAUGCAUAAAUAAAAAGGAAUCCAGAAUUGUAAUGUCUGGUCCCCCUAAAUUCAAACAAAAUGAAACAGAUGGAUUAGUAAAUCCACUUUAAUAAGCUCAGAUAUUAAGCCCAGUGCUAAGAAGGUCAAAAAUAUUCCCGAGGCGCAAACUAUUUCCUACGUCUUAAGAGAGUAACCCUGUAGAAUAUAAGACCUUGUUUCACUCUCUAGCCAAAAGCAAUAUAGAGACCAGGUGACAGUAUGAAGCCAGUGAUACAGGCUUUAAUUUUCUUUGGGGAAUACUGGACAGUACUUAGUGUGAGCCAGCAUGGGAAAGGAAGAAAAUACUAGAAUUUUGAAUUAUUUUACUUUAUGAGAAGGAAGUUAACAUUGGCAGCACAAACCCUUACUUUAUCUCUCUAUGUAAUCCGCACUUUAUGCAAAACUCAUUACCCCAAGUGUUUUAAGUGUCUCUAACAAUGAGAGGCACAGAAGGAUUAACAAGGGCACAUGUCCAAAUUCUGUGUUUAUUUAAUAGGUGAUAAAAUGACACACACUUAACCCAUAUCACACAUCACCACAUAUUCAAAGCACAGAAAGCAAUGGGGAGCUGGCACUUCUGCUCUUGUAAUGGACUAUCUGAUAGCCACACGUUAAGAUAAAUUUAGUGAUAAUUUCAUCAAAGAUUUUAAGAAACCAGUCAAAUAAUUAGAAAUUACCUUGCUUAACUGAAAAUUUAUGCCUAAGAGUAACUCCACAUUUCCCCCCCCUCUCCUCAGCACCCCCACCAACCACCAUUCAACUCUUUGAUUCUAUGCAUCUGACUGUUUUAGAUACCUCAUAUAAAUGGAAUCAAACACUAUUUGCUUUUCUGUGACAGGCUUAUUUCACUUAGCAUGAUGUCUUCAGGAUCCAUUCCUAUUGUCACACAUGGCAAGAUUUCCUUCUUUUUAAGGAUGAAAAGUAUUCCCUGCAUGUAUAUAUUACGUUUUCCUCAUCCACUCAUCUGUCGACUGACAUCUAGGUUGUUUCCACUUCUUGACUAUGGUGAACAGCCACCACGAACAUGGGAGUGCAGCUAGCUUUUCAGGAUCUUGAUUUCAUUUCUUUCGGAAAAAUAACCAGAAGUGGGAUUGUUGAAUGGUAGUUCUAUUUUUCGUUUUUUGAAGUAUCUCAUACUGUUUUCCACAUUGGCUGUACCAUUUUACAUUCCCACCAAUAGUAUAUAAGAAUUCAAAGUUUUCCGUAUUCUCACCAACACUUGCUGUCUUUUAUUUUUUAUAAUAGCCAUCCCAACAGGUAUGAGGUGAUAUCUCAUUGUGGAUUCAGUUUGCAUUUCCCUGAUGAUUAGUGACACUGAGCGUUAUUUCAUAUACCCAUUGGCCAUUUGUCUAUCGGUCUUUGGAGAACCAUAUAUUCAAGUCUUUGACUCAUUUUUAAAUUGGGUUAUUAGAUUUUUUUGCUACUGAGUUGAAGAAAUUCCUUAUAUAUCCUUAAGAUUAACCUCUUAAGAGAUAUAGUUUGCAAAUAUUUUCUCCCAUUACAUAGGUUUUCUUUUCACUGUUGAUUUUUUUCCUUUGCUGCAUAGAGGCUUUUUGAUUUAAUAUACUCCCACUUGUCUAGUUUUGGCAUUUUGGUCUGUGCUUUUGGUAUUACACCAAAGAUCAUUUAAGAUCAAUAUGAUUAAGCUUUACUCCUAUGUUUUCUUCUACAAUUUUUACAGUUUCAGGUUUUAAAUUUAAGUCAUCAAUCCAUUUCAAAUAGAUUUUUGUGUAUGGUAUAAGUCCAAUUAUAUAGUUUUGCAUGUAGAUACCCAGUUUCCCACCAUUUGUAAACGAGACUGUUUUUCCCCAAUUAUAUAGUCUUUCAAUCUAUUUAAAUUAUCACUUUGUUCAUGCAUUGGUGUCUUUGAUGAAUAUCUUUUACAGUUAUUUUUAAUUUUCUAUAAGGUAGGUCAUGUAACAGGUUCAGGGCAUUCCAGCAGGGUCAGUUUUGGGAGAUUAUUGAGUUCUUUGUUUGGAACAUCUUUGUCUUAAUAUGUUUUCCCUUAACACUCUGUAGAAAUCUUCAUAUUAGACGUCAGGAAUGUUUCUCAGUUAUCACAAACAGUUCACAUUCAGGAGAAAACCUCUGCCAAUCAGCCUUGCUGAAGAUUCAAGGGCCUUUACCAGCUCUUUCCCUCCCCAGGAAGAAUGAGGAAACCAGUUUUAUCCCUCACUCAUUGCUGAGACAGGAAGAAGAAUCUGUGGUGUCUGCCAGCCCAACUGCUGUCUCUAUUUUCCCUCAUGGAACUGGACCUUUCCCAACUCAACAGAGCUCCAAAAUUGGUUAUAUGAUAUAUAUAUAUAUAUAUAUUUUUUUUGACAUCCACAGGGAUGUUGAAGGCUGGAUGCAGGGAUCUACUCUUUCCUUCCUCAGAGUAUAGCUUGGAACUUGAGUUUUUUAACUUACUUGUCUGUUCUGAGUUAUGGGAAGGAUCUAUGGUAUCUAGCAGCUUAAGCUACCAGCUUCAUUGUCCUCAGGUGGCUAGACUGAUGUAGGUCAAAGAUGCAGCUUGGAUCUAGCAUGGCUGUGGCUUAGGCCAGCUUUUGCAGCUCCCAUUUAACCCCUAGCCUGGGAACUUC